GUUUGAUCAUGGCUCAGAACGAACGCUGGCGGCGUGCCUAACACAUGCAAGUCGCACGAGAAAUCCUGGGCAACUGGGAAAGUAAAGUGGCGCACGGGUGAGUAACGCGUGGGUAACCUACCCUCCAAUUAGGGAUAACUCUUCGAAAGGGGAGUUAAUACUCAAUAAUAUUCCGAUCUCUAAGGGGAUUGGAAUCAAAGGUGGCCUCUGCAUGCAAGCUACCGUUGAAGGAUGGGCCCGCGUACCAUUAGCUAGUUGGUAGGGUAAUGGCCUACCAAGGCGACGAUGGUUAGCUGGUCUGAGAGGAUGGCCAGCCACACUGGAACUGAGACACGGUCCAGACUCCUACGGGAGGCAGCAGUGGGGAAUCUUGCGCAAUGGGGGAAACCCUGACGCAGCGACGCCGCGUGGGUGAUGAAGGCCUUCGGGUCGUAAAGCCCUGUCAGGUGGGAAGAAACGCAUUGAUGAUAAUACCAUCAGUGUUUGACGGUACUACCGAAGGAAGCACCGGCUAACUCCGUGCCAGCAGCCGCGGUAAUACGGAGGGUGCAAGCGUUGUUCGGAAUUACUGGGCGUAAAGCGCGUGUAGGCGGUUAGGCAAGUCAGAUGUGAAAGUCUUCCGCUCAACGGGAGAAGGGCAUUUGAAACUACCUGGCUAGAGUACGGGAGAGGAGAGUGGAAUUCCCGGUGUAGAGGUGAAAUUCGUAGAUAUCGGGAGGAACACCAGUGGCGAAGGCGGUUCUCUGGUCCGAUACUGACGCUGAGACGCGAAAGCGUGGGGAGCAAACAGGAUUAGAUACCCUGGUAGUCCACGCCGUAAACGAUGGGCACUAGGUGUAGGAGGUAGUGACCCCUUCUGUGCCGAAGCUAACGCAUUAAG
rnacentral:rRNA from 1 species